CCAGCCGCCGAAGGUGCGGAGGGGUUUCACACGUACCCGUCCCAACCACGACCGUUAAGCCCUUCAGCGCCAAUGGUACUUGGACCGCAGGGUCCUGAGAGAGUAGGACGCCGCCAAGC
rnacentral:rRNA from 1 species